UACAGAGGGUGCGAGCGUUGUCCGGAAUCAUUGGGCGUAAAGCGCGCGUAGGCGGCCCCGUAAGUCCGCUGUGAAAGUCAAAGGCUCAACCUUUGAAAGCCGGUGGAUACUGUGGGGCUAGAGUCCGGAAGAGGCGAGUGGAAUUCCUGGUGUAGCGGUGGAAUGCGCAGAUAUCAGGAGGAACACCAAUAGCGAAGGCAGCUCGCUGGGACGGUACUGACGCUAAGGCGCGAAAGCGUGGGGAGCGAACAGG
rnacentral:rRNA from 1 species